rnacentral:rRNA from 1 species
AUACGUAGGGGGCGAGCGUUGUCCGGAAUGAUUGGGCGUAAAGGGCGCGUAGGCGGCCUGUUAAGUCCGGAGUGAAAUUCCUGCUUUCAAGGUAGGAAGUGCUUUGGAAACUGGCGGGCUGGAGUGCAGGAGAGGUUAGCGGAAUUCCCGGUGUAGCGGUGAAAUGCGUAGAGAUCGGGAGGAACACCAGUGGCGAAGGCGGCUAACUGGACUGUAACUGACGCUGAGGCGCGAAAGUGUGGGGAGCAAACAGGAUUAGAUACCCUGGUAGUCCACACGGUAAACGAUGAAUGCUAGGUGUAGGGGGUAUCGACCCCUUCUGUGCCGGAGUAAACACAAUAAGCAUUCCGCCUGGGGAGUACGGCCGCAAGGUUGA